CCUACGGGGGGCAGCAGUGGGGAAUAUUGGACAAUGGGGGGAACCCUGAUCCAGCCAUGCCGCGUGUGUGAAGAAGGCCCUCGGGUUGUAAAGCACUUUCAGUGAGGAAGAACGCCUGGUGGUUAAUACCCAUCAGGAAAGACAUCACUCACAGAAGAAGCACCGGCUAACUCCGUGCCAGCAGCCGCGGUAAUACGGAGGGUGCGAGCGUUAAUCGGAAUUACUGGGCGUAAAGCGCGCGUAGGUGGCUUGAUAAGCCGGUUGUGAAAGCCUCGGGCUCAACCUGGGAAAGGCAUCCGGAACUGUCAAGCUAGAGUGCGGGAGAGGAAGGUAGAAUUGCCGGUGUAGCGGUGAAAUGCGUAGAGAUCGGGAGGAAUACCAGUGGCGAAGGCGGCCUUCUGGACUGACACUGACACUGAGGUGCGAAAGCGUGGGUAGCAAACAGGAUUAGAUACCCUGGUAGUC
rnacentral:rRNA from 1 species